rnacentral:tRNA from 2 species
GCAGUCGUGGCCGAGUGGUUAAAUCGAUGGACUAGAAAUCCAUUGGGGUCUCCCCGCACAGGUUCGAAUCCUGUCGACUGCG